rnacentral:miRNA from 1 species
UACCUCGUCGACUGGAAGGGGUUUCUUCCGGCCGACGAGGUACAUGUACCUUGCUGGCUGGAAGGAAAUCCUUCCAGUCGACGAGGCAUGUACCUCGCCGGCUGGAAGGAAAUCCUUCCAGUCGACGAGGUA